rnacentral:rRNA from 1 species
GACGAACGCUGGCGGCGUGCUUAACACAUGCAAGUCGAACGGAAAGGCCCUGCUUGCAGGGUACUCGAGUGGCGAACGGGUGAGUAACACGUGGGUGAUCUGCCCUGCACUUCGGGAUAAGCCUGGGAAACUGGGUCUAAUACCGGAUAGGAGCCAUUUUUAGUGUGAUGGUUGGAAAGUUUUUUCGGUGUCGGAUGAGCUCGCGGCCUAUCAGCUUGUUGGUGGGGUAAUGGCCUACCAAGGCGGCGACGGGUAGCCGGCCUGAGAGGGUGGACGGCCACAUUGGGACUGAGAUACGGCCCAGACUCCUACGGGAGGCAGCAGUGGGGAAUAUUGCACAAUGGGCGCAAGCCUGAUGCAGCGACGCCGCGUGGGGGAUGACGGCCUUCGGGUUGUAAACUCCUUUCGCUAGGGACGAAGCUUUUUGUGACGGUACCUAGAUAAGAAGCACCGGCUAACUACGUG